AAUGAACGCUGGCGGCGUGGUUAAGACAUGCAAGUCGAACGGUGUUUCAAGUGUAGCAAUACAUUUGAAACGCAGUGGCGAACGGGUGCGUAACACGUGAACAAUCUACCAUUUAGUGUGGAAUAGCUCGACGAAAGUCGGAUUAAUACCGCAUGUGGUUGGUUCUCUCCUGAGAGCAAUACUAAAGUCAGGGAACGCAAGGCCUGAUGCUAGUUGAGGAGUUCGCGGCCUAUCAGCUAGUUGGCGAGGUAACGGCUCACCAAGGCUAACACGGGGAGCUGAUCUGAGAGGAUGAUCAGCCACACUGGAACCGAGACACGGUCCAGAAACCUACGGGUGGCAGCAGUUUCGAAUCAUUCACAAUGGGCGAAAGCCUGAUGGCGCGACGCCGCGUGAGGGAUGAAGGUCUUCGGAUUGUAAACCUCUGUCACCGGGGAAGAAACGCUUCAUGUUAACAGCUUGAAGCCUGACUUAACCCGGAGAGGAAGCAGUGGCUAACUCUGUGCCAGCAGCCGCAGUAACAC
rnacentral:rRNA from 1 species